AUCAUUCGGUUGAAAAGACAAUCUCAUAUCCCAUCAAGAUCAUUUGAGAAGAACCUUAAGAAGAGCAACUUACGGAUGACUGAAGCAGACAAGACACAAGAUGUGAUUGGAUUGUGACCAAGCAACAGAUAAGUUUGUUUAAAUGACACUAAUUGUUUGAUUUAUUGCUAUUAAUUUCUUUGUAAAGCCUGUAAUAGGCUUGUUAUUAUUGUGUAAUAGGCAUGUAAUAAUUGUGUUGUGACAACAUUAGUAGUAAAGGUCUGGUGACUAUUUUAAGGUACAAUCCUCACUAUUCAAACCAUUUAACAAGACUUUUAGCUCAAGAAACUACUAUAGUUUUCUUUAAUAGUUAGUUUUAGGGAUGUAGGAUAAGACCAUACUUUAAAAUUACUAAUAAACAACCAACAUCUGUGGUGUCUAAUGAUGCUUGGCAGAAAAAAGAGAUACAUAAAGUUUUGAUGAUAUACAUUAUCAUAUAUUGAUGUCACAUAUAAAUAUAUACAUUUAUUAUAAACUACAUUUAUACAUCUGUGAUAAGAUAGCUCUAAUGGAUCCUUUUCACAAGACUGAGGCAUUUCAUCAGUAUCUUAAGUCAUCAGUAUCUUAAAUCCUUGAAAGUUUUUAAAAUAUUUUGUAAUAAAAAAGAAGAAAACAUGAACAUUUACAUGUAUUUACGUAUGUAUUAUUUCAUCUUUGUAUCAAAUUACAAAAAACAAAUUUCAUUUAUGGGCGGGAAAGUAAAUUGGACGUUGUUCUCUCCUCUGGCUGCCAUUAUCAGUCUCACACUUUUAUUUAUUUUUUGCUUUUUAUGAAAGUCUUACUAACACCACAGUGGAGUUUUUUUUAUUUCAGCAAAUAGGAUUGAAAAAAAAAAUAUUGUUGUAAUUUCCCAUUCACUGUGCUCAAAGUUUACCUGAUUAUGACAACUUCUACUACUGAGAAACCCAUGAAAAGUGUCCAUGAUGAUAAAUAUUUUAAUAAUAUUUAAUAAUAAUUUUAAUAAUAAACAUUUAUUUGCUAGUCACCCUUUUGUUAAACUUAUAUGUUUUUAAUGGAGGACUUUCACUUGAUGACGCACUGCUACGCUGGCCGAGAGAGCUUAACAUGCUGCAAUUUAGCUCUUUCGGCCACCAUACUUUGCUGUUUUGUUUGUUAAAUGACAAGAAGCAUGGUCUGUAUUAUAUUUGCUCAUAAAAUAUUGUACUUUUUCCUUUUGUUCCCAUUUUAUGAUUUUGUUAUUAAUAUUAAAGCAUGCAUAAUAUUAAGCAAUUAGAAAAGAUCAUGUUGUGUGUAACAAUGACAGCGGUACUUUGUUCCGGUUUAGCAAAAGUUAUUUGGAUGCUAGUGUUAGCUCUGUGGCUCUUGUAAUCGAUUGUGUUGUAUGUUGUUACAUGUUUAGAAACUGUAAAUUGGAAACAUUUUAGAGUUACAGUCCUUGUUUAGCUGCAAAUUUUGCUGAUUGCCUUCAUUUACUUUUUUGGACUUUUGAUUCUCAGCAUAAUGCAAAGGCCUAGUGAAGCCUUGUCAAUAUUACGUUUAGUUUGGAAUAUUUGCAGCACACGCUGCAUUGAUACGUUAUGUGAUUUACUGUGUGUACAACUUGUGGUGUGAUGGUUCAAGUUAUGGUUAUGGUUUGGAAGUCAAAAGUUAGAAACCCUCAAGGCUCGUGAUUCCUAACAGCGAUCGCUGUUGCAAACAUUAACAUUACUUAUUUUACUAGCUCAGUUUGGGUUUUCACGGUAGACUAAAGCAUUCGGUUUAAACGCAUAUAGAAAUAAAGCACAUGCAGGAGUUUAUUUUUUACUUGAACAGUCUGAGUUUUCUGGACAGGAUAAAAUAUUCAGUUUGAAUUCAUAAAUAACUUUGUUCAAAACAUAUUAUAAAUCACACUUUGCUUUUGCGUCCUGCUGAUUACAUUUGUUUUUGUAUUUGUUUUCAGGGAUCACACAUAUGUUGCCCCCGCAAACCAGUGGAUCAGAUUAAGACCUCUAUCCAAUGUACCGAAAACCCCAAAGGAUUGGAUGGAGUUGUCAUACAGGAUGAUAAGGUGUUUGCCAUGAACAAACACCCCUUGGGGACUGUUCCUUGAUGGAUCGACACAAACUCUGCUCUCAGCAAAACAUUCUCAUGCUGCCCUGACGUUUCAUGCACUAUUAAAAAUGAUCAU